rnacentral:rRNA from 1 species
CAUGCAAGUUGAACGCAUCUUGGGGGGCAACUCCCAAGAUGAGUGGCGAACGGGUGAGUAACACGUGGGUAAUCUCCCCCCGAGUGAGGAAUAAGCCCGCGAAAGCGGGUCUAAUACUGCAUAACACCCCGGGGCAUAAGCUUCCGGGGUCAAAGCCGUAAGGCGCUUGGGGAUGAGCCUGCGUCCUAUUAGCUAGUUGGUAGGGUAACGGCCUACCAAGGUUAUGAUGGGUAGCCGGCCUGAGAGGAUGAUCAGCCACACUGGCACUGACACACGGGCCAGACUCCUACGGGAGGCAGCAGUGAGGAAUAUUGCGCAAUGGGCGAAAGCCUGACGCAGCAACGCCGUGUGGGCGAUGAAGGCCUUCGGGUUGUAAAGCCCUUUUCUGGGGGAAGAGGAAGGACGG